GCCUAGUUAGCUUGGAAGAGGUAGAGCGCCUGCCUUGUAAGCGCUAGGUUGCGGGUUCGAUUCCCGCUCGGGACA
rnacentral:tRNA from 1 species